rnacentral:rRNA from 1 species
AUUGAACGCUGGCGGCAUGCCUUACACAUGCAAGUCGAACGGCAGCACGGGUGCUUGCACCUGGUGGCGAGUGGCGAACGGGUGAGUAAUACAUCGGAACAUGUCCUGUAGUGGGGGAUAGCCCGGCGAAAGCCGGAUUAAUACCGCAUACGAUCUACGGAUUAAAGCGGGGGACCUUCGGGCCUCGCGCUAUAGGGUUGGCCGAUGGCUGAUUAGCUAGUUGGUGGGGUAAAGGCCUACCAAGGCGACGAUCAGUAGCUGGUCUGAGAGGACGACCAGCCACACUGGGACUGAGACACGGCCCAGACUCCUACGGGAGGCAGCAGUGGGGAAUUUUGGACAAUGGGCGAAAGCCUGAUCCAGCAAUGCCGCGUGUGUGAAGAAGGCCUUCGGGUUGUAAAGCACUUUUGUCCGGAAAGAAAUCCUUGGCCCUAAUACGGUCGGGGGAUGACGGUACCGGAAGAAUAAGCACCGGCUAACUACGUG